GAGCCCGAUGUAAAUGGGAAUCCGUUGCCAAACCAUGGAAGUGCUGCUGUAAACGCUAUUGAUAGGGAAUUCACUUACCGCCGCAAGCGACGCCUAUCUGAAGUCAAAUUCCCGAUAGGAUCCAGGUUCUCUUGAAACAAAAUAUCCUGAUCCCUCAGCAUCAGGCGAUGUCUCAGUAUCAUCUGCAUCCAAACCAGAAUUUGACUCCGAAGAGGGACAACUCACUUUUCCAUAAUCACCCGACAAGUCGAAUCCAUAUCAUCAGAAUAGAGGGC
rnacentral:lncRNA from 1 species